rnacentral:rRNA from 1 species
CCUACGGGUGGCAGCAGUGAGGAAUAUUGGUCAAUGGGCGGGAGCCUGAACCAGCAACGCCGCGUGCAGGAUGACGGCCCUCCGGGUUGUACAUUGUUUUUCGUUGGGAAUAAAAGGGGGGCUCGUGAGCCACGUAUUGUCUGUACCAUCCGAAAAAGGACCGGCUAAUUCCGUGCCAGCAGCCGCGGUAAUACGGAAGGUUCGGGCGUUAUCCGGAUUUAUUGGGUUUAAAGGGAGCGUAGGCGGGCAUUUAAGUCAGCUGUGAAAGUCCGCGGCUCAACCGUGGAAUUGCAGUUGAAACUGGAGGCCUUGAGUGCACACAGGGAUGCCGGAAUUCAUGGUGUAGCGGUGAAAUGCGUAGAUAUCAGGAAGAACUCCGAUCGCGAAGGCGAGUGUCCGGGGUGCAACUGACGCUGAGGCUCGAAAGUGCGGGUAGCAAACAGGAUUAGAUACCCUAGUAGUC